rnacentral:rRNA from 1 species
CAGCAGCCGCGGUAAUACGAGGGGAGCUAGCGUUGUUCGGAAUUACUGGGCGUAAAGCGCGCGUAGGCGGCUUUUUAAGUCAGAGGUGAAAGCCCGGGGCUCAACCCCGGAAUUGCCUUUGAAACUGGAAAGCUAGAAUCUUGGAGAGGUCAGUGGAAUUCCGAGUGUAGAGGUGAAAUUCGUAGAUAUUCGGAAGAACACCAGUGGCGAAGGCGACUGACUGGACAAGUAUUGACGCUGAGGUGCGAAAGCGUGGGGAGCAAACAGGAUUAGAUACCCCUGUAGUCCCUGUCUCUUAUAU